rnacentral:rRNA from 1 species
UACGUAGGGCGCAAGCGUUGUCCGGAAUUAUUGGGCGUAAAGAGCUCGUAGGCGGCUUGUCGCGUCCGCUGUGAAAUCCUGGGGCUUAACCCCGGGCGUGCAGUGGAUACGGGCUGGCUAGAGGCAGGCAGGGGAGAACGGAAUUCCCGGUGUAGCGGUGAAAUGCGCAGAUAUCGGGAGGAACACCUGUGGCGAAAGCGGCGCACUGGACCAUAACUGACGCUGAGGCGCGAAAGCUAGGGGAGCAAACAG